CUUGUGUUGCACGGGCAGAUGGUCGGGGAGGAACCAUCGGGAGAAAAUCGGCGUCCACGUGGCCUUCGACCAGGUUCUGAACAUCAAACCCUAUUGCUGCACGGGCUCAGGUCACUCUGUUCACAGAGGGGGCUACACCUACGACCUGUCGGCCGUGGUGAUGCACCACGGCAAAGGCUUUGGCUCAGGGCACUACACCGCAUACUGCUACAACACAGAAGGAGGUUUCUGGGUCCACUGCAAUGACUCUGAGAUGAAGGUUUGCAGCGUGGAGGAAGUGUGCAACACUCAGGCCUACAUUCUCUUCUACACCCAGAGGUCCGCUUAGGGACUUCUCGCUGUGAGCCUGAGCUGCAUUUAUGAAAUUGUUUCGCACCCAGAUGUCACCAAACACACUCUUGAAAAUAGCAAUAGGGACUAAUGUUUCGAUGAUGUUCCCGGCAGGCCGCGGCGAUCACAUUUCAGACCACCGUAGAUGUGCGACAAAGCAAACGUGACAGACCAAAAAGAAUUUGCCACAACAGUCGCCGUGUUGGUUAGCCUCUGCGGUAGCACGUAAUUGCUUCAAAGCCAGCAAAACUUUGAUAUGGAGAAGAAAAGAAAAAAAAAAAGAAGAAAUUCCAUGGCACCAAAUCCCAAAUGAGUUUGCCAUGGCCACCGAGAACAAAAUGCAAACAGAGCAUGAACUGACAAAUGUCCUAAGUGGAUUUGCACAGACCUCCGCCAAGAUUGACAGAAAUUCAAGCGCCCUCUACUUGUGCGUUUUUGGUUUGUGGUCAUCCAUGUUGGAUUGUACCACAUUUGAUUCUGCAACAGGGAGAACCAUGACACAGCGAGAAGAGGAAAUACAUUUCUCUUUCUCCGUCUUGAUUCAGAUUACCAACAAAAUGUAUGAAGGACUAUUAGGGCCACAUGCUAAAGAAAAAUAAUUAAGUCGUAUGGCCACAAGAACAAAGUUGUAAUAGUUUAAAUCAUUGUAACCGUCGGCUUGUUUGGUCAGCGACCACCACAGUGAGUCACUCGCAUGACUUGUAAUCCUCUAAAUCAUAAUUUUACAAGAGCAAAAAAAAAAGACAGUUUGUCUCUCUAUAUGUGCCCUGCAAUUGUGUUGGCGACGAAACCGGGAUGUACAUCACCCCUGCUGAAGUCAGGUGGGAUGGUCUCCUCCUCAACCUGUGAACCGAAUGAGGACAAGCGCUAUUAAAAAUGGCAUGAAUAUAUGGCAGCUCUCAAGACGUAGACAGCGGCCGCUUGUCUCCAAAUGUUGCGUUUACGUCCACAUGGAAUUUUAACACUCACUUGUUAAAAUGGCAACUUCAUUCUCACGUUUCCUCCCCUUUUCUAAAAACCAUGACCUAUUUUUAAUUGUCUUACUCCGUACUACUACUCAAAUUUGGCCGUUUGAUCACAUUUCUACUUCAUUCUUUUUGGAUGACCACGAUUACAUGAGCUUUAUCGUUAACUGUAUGUCUUUUCCCCUUGUAAUUUUACUUUUUUUUUCUCACUAUGGCUCUGAUAGUCCUUCAUAAUAACAUUUAAUGUAAUCUUGUUCCACACUUGUGCCACCUCUCCACAAAAUCAUGCAAAUCAAUCAUUUCAAUUUUGCAUAAAUGGCGGAGGUAAUUUAGCCACUGUGUUUCGAGCCUCAUUUUCGGAUGUGUACAAAGAAACUUUUUCAUAAAUGAAGCGACAGGUCAGUCCGCCUGUGGGACCAGCAGACUGUGCGAGCGGGUUCGAUUAGGUCCUGCUAAAUAUCCAGUGGUGUGCUUGCAUUUAAAAAUUAAGGAGAAAAAAAGCUCAUUUAUAUUGAGUAUGAGGACCGAGCAGGCACACAUACCUGAAACUGCAUUUUAUGUUGAACACAAUACAACACACAAUCUGUAUUCCAUGACUUUUUUUUUGUUUGUUUUGAUUUGUUUUAUCACCUAGAGCGGUUAUAUUUUGUAGCUUUACAUAUGUCAAGAGGGGGAUUAACUCUCCCCAAAAUGGGCCAUCUUACUUGAAACAAGAUUCCGAGAAUUUCAGACUUGUGUUCCUUGUGGUUCUGAUUUUUAUUUCAAAUAUUUUUUACUUUUAUUGUGAAAUGUCACUUUUCGAUUCCUCCCCGUGGACAUCAUGAUGUCGUCUCCUGGUUUGUAUGUUCUCCUCAGCGAGGUUGCUUGAGUUCAUUCUGUGUUCAACUGCCAUGAAAGGAAGCCAAAAGGACACUUGACUGAGAAAUGACGGAGGGUUUUUGAAAAGCGGGUGGGGGUUUGCUCAUCUAGCUGGUCCUAGCUUUGUGAUUGUUCAUUUUUUUUAAAUUUUGCUGCUCCUAUAUGGUUUCUACAUGGGAGCUCCCACCCACCCACCACCACUCUCCCUCAUUGAGUCCAUGUGUAGACGAGACCGGCGAUGGAGACAAGCCACUGCAGAAGUGAUGAAUGUUUCUUUUUUUUUUUUUUUCCUCCUCCUUUUCAAGAGACAUUUGGUACCUUACGUUUUAGCACCUGAAAGCAAUAUAUUGUAAAUCUUAAACCUUGACAGGAAUUUAAGAUCAAAUCAGGAAUUGUUUUUUUUUCUACUCUGCUGUUUCUAUUAAAGUCUUUAGAAUUUGCUAGCUAAUCGAGAAGAAACACUUGUGUUUGAUACGAGUGAAAUCCACACUACAUUUGUCAACUUCAAGUCAGAAACAAUCUUAAUGACGAUGAAUGUCCUACUGCUUAGAGGUCAGGUGAGUUCUGUUGUUAACUUUAAGAAUACAUGUCAUCAAUGUAAUGGUCAUAUGGGUUUUGCCUGACAGUUAUUAAAAACAUGAAGCAAUUUCUU